rnacentral:rRNA from 1 species
UACGUAGGGGGCUAGCGUUGUCCGGAUUUAUUGGGCGUAAAAGAGCGUGUAGGCGGCCAGGUAGGUCUGGUGUGAAAACUCGAGGCUUAACCUCGAGAUGUCAUCGGAAACCAUCUGGCUAGAGUCCGGAAGAGGAGAGUGGAAUUCCUGGUGGUAGCGGUGAAAUGCGCAGAUAUCAGGAAGAACAACCAAUGGCGAAAGCAGCUCUCUGGGACGGUACUGACGCUGAGACGCGAAACGUGGGGAGCGAACAGG